rnacentral:rRNA from 1 species
CAGUCGCCGCGGGAAUACGGAGGGGGCUAGCGUUGUUCGGAAUUACUGGGCGUAAAGCGCACGUAGGCGGCUUGGUAAGUUAGAGGUGAAAGCCCAGGGCUCAACCCUGGAAUUGCCUUUAAGACUGCCGAGCUAGCAGGUGAGAGAGGUGAGUGGAAUUCCGAGUGUAGAGGUGAAAUUCGUAGAUAUUCGGAAGAACACCAGUGGCGAAGGCGGCUCACUGGCUCAUUCUAGACGCUGAGGUGCGUAAGCGUGGGGAGCAAACAGGAUUAGAUACCCGGGUAGUCCCUGUCUCUUAUAC